GUUUCUGGAUAAUGUUAUUAGCUUUCAAGCACGCGAUGCUUCCCAAGAGAGCUGUUGACUUCCAGUCUGACCAAAUUCUUUCACGUCGUGGCGUGUACGAUGUAUAAAAGUUUUGGAAUGUCUCUGAGAUGACUUCUUCAGACACACAACCUUGCUAUAUCGCUCAAACUAGAUUUGCACUCCUGGAAUCCAGUAGAUCCUUCUACAUCCGGAAUUGGUGGGUUCUUGGUCUGACUUCAAGAAUGAAGCCACAGACCCUCACACCAAAAUCUCAUCCACUCCUCUGCGUCCAUCCACAUGUCCUGGGAAGCCUUCUCUGAUCACCUCAGAGCAGCUUCCGAAUGGCUCCAGAGCAAUAAAGG